GAACCGUUAGGCUCUCUUUCCAUGCAGUCGCACGAGAAAGGGCUUCGGCCCGAGUAAAGUGGCGGACGGGUGAGUAAUGCAUGGAUAACCUGCCUUCGAGUGGGGGAUAACCCCGGGAAACCGGGGCUAAUACCGCAUGACGAGUCUCGAGCUUCGGCUUGCGCCUCUAAAGCUGGCCUCUGCUUGCACGCAGGCGCUUGAAGAGGGGUCCAUGUCCCAUUAUCUAGUUGGUGAGGUAACGGCUCACCAAGGCGACGAUGGGUAGCCGACCUGAGAGGGUGAUCGGCCACACUGGGACUGAUACACGGCCCAGACUCCUACGGGAGGCAGCAGUGGGGAAUUUUGCGCAAUGGGGGAAACCCUGACGCAGCGACGCCGCGUGGAGGAUGAAGGCCCUUGGGUCGUAAACUCCUGUCAUGUGGGAAGAAAAGCCUUCGGUAAACAGCCGACGGUCUUGACUGUACCACCGGAGGAAGCCCCGGCUAACUCCGUGCCAGCAGCCGCGGUAAUACUGAGGGGGCAAGCGUUGUUCGGAAUCAUUGGGCGUAAAGGGCGCGUAUGCGGCCGGCCAACUCGGGUGUGAAAUCCCUCGGCUCAUCCGAGGAACUGCACUCGAUACUGGCUGGAUAGAGUCCGGGAUGGGAUGGUGGAAUUCCCAGUGUAGCGGUGAAAUGCGUACAUAUUGGGAAGAACACCGGUGGCGAAGGCGGCCAUCUGGACCGGCACUGACGCUGAGGCGCGAAAGCCAAGGGAGCGAAUGGGAUUAGAUACCCCGAUAGUCCUGGCUGUAAACGAUGGACAGUUGAUGUGGCGGGUACUGACCCCCGCCGUGUCAAAGCUCACCCUUGAGGUGCCCGGCCCUGGGGAGUACAGUCACAAGGCUGAACUCAUAGGAAUUGACUG
rnacentral:rRNA from 1 species